GAUGAACGCUGACAGAAUGCUUAACACAUGCAAGUCGAUGGGGAAGUGGUGCUUGCACCAUGGUAACCAUGGCGGACGGGUGAGUAACGCGUAAGGAACUUGCCUGCGGGACUGGGAUAACAGCAGGAAACUGCUGAUAAUACCGGAUAAGGUCAUUAAGCUGCAUAGCUUAGUGAUGAAAGGAGACGCCUGCGGAGAGCCUUGCGUCCUAUUAGCUAGUUGGAGGGGUAACGGCCCACCAAGGCGAAGAUAGGUAGCCGGCCUGAGAGGGUGGACGGCCACAGGGGGACUGAGAUACGGCCCUUACUCCUACGGGAGGCAGCAGUGGGGAAUAUUGGACAAUGGGGGCAACCCUGAUCCAGCAAUUCUGUGUGCACGAAGACGGUUUUCGGAUUGUAAAGUGCUUUCAGCAGGGAAGAAGGAAGUGACGGUACCUGCAGAAGAAGCGACGGCUAAAUACGUG
rnacentral:rRNA from 1 species